AACUUAAAGGAAUUGACGGGGGCCCGCACAAGCAGCGGAGCGUGUGGUUUAAUUCGAUGAUACGCGAAGAACCUUACCUGGUCUUGACAUGCACGUGGUACUGAUUCGAAAGAUGAGGGACCCUUCGGGGAGCGUGCACAGGUGUUGCACGGCCGUCGUCAGCUCGUGCCGUGAGGUGUUGGGUUAAGUCUCGCAACGAGCGCAACCCCCGUCGCCAGUUGUAUUUUUCUGGCGAGACUGCCGGGAAAUCCCCGGAGGAAGAGGGGAUGAUGUCAGGUCAGCGUGGCCCUUACGACCAGGGCUACACACACGCUACAAUGGGUGGUACAGAGGGUCGCGAAGCCGCGAGGUGGAGCUAAUCCCACAAAGCCAUCCUCAGUUCGGAUUACAGGCUGAAACUCGCCUGCAUGAAGCCGGAGUUGCUAGUAACCGCAGGUCAGCACUACUGCGGUGAAUACGUUCCCGGGCCUU
rnacentral:rRNA from 1 species